CUCUCUCUCUCUCUCACUCACGCUUCUUCGCUUUCUUCUUCUUCUCUCUCUCUUCUCUCUCUCUCUCUCUGAAACAAAGAACAACGAGAUUCAUCUUCGUAUAGUCUUUUUUUUCUGUCUAUCUUCUUCAUCCUUACACAAAAUCACCCCAUCACCAUAAACCUCAGCCGCUGCCAUCAUCUUCAUCUCCACCUCCUCGUUCUCUACUUCUGCCAAGAACUCUGUCUCAACCACUUUUUUAUCUAUCCUCUUAUCAAAGCUUUUCUUUUCCAGAUGCAUAUUCAUGGUCUUAGUUAACACCAACCACAUCUCAGGGACAGGGAAGAGGAAGUGAAAUUGAUACUGGGGCUGACUGUAACUUGAUUAAACAAGAUUCUUUUCUCAUAGUGUUACAAGAUUGAUAGGAAGAAGGCGGAUAUGAAUAAGCUGUGCUGGUGGAGAUGAAGUCGAGACAGAUGAAGAAAAGAGAAAGAAGGAGAAGGUGAGAAGACAGAGAUGUAAGGAAGAGGCCGAAAAUGGAGGAGGAAGGUGACGAUGGGAGGAAGGCAGGCAUCAGCGUAUAUUAGGUUUAGUUUUGGGUGGUUUAUUAGGUUUGGUUCAAAUAGAGUUAGUUUAAUAAACCGGUUUUGUGUGUAAACCAAUAUUACUAAUAAAUCGAAUUUAAUUGUAAACCAAUUAUUUGUAUACUGAUUUUAGUCAAUAAAAAUUUUUAAUUUAAA